UCUCUCUCUCUCAGAGUGAAAUGUUUAGUUAAUUGGAGAAUUUGAACUAGCGUGUACUAGAGUUUUAGAAUUAUAAUUUGAGAAUAGAGUUGUAUUUUGAGUUUGCGAGUUUUAAAAUUAUGAUUUGAAAAGUGAAAAUUUGUUUGGUUAAGAGUUUGCAUUUGAGGUUUGAAUUUUUGAUGGGACAUAUGAAAUGAAAAAAAGUUGUUUGGUUAUGAAUUUUGAAAAGAGUUUUCAAAACUUAAUUGAAAUAUUUGUAACUCAUAAUCAAACACACGGCUCAAAACUCUUUUGAAAAUUCUAUUCAAAACGCAUAAUCAAACUCGUUUUAACAUUCAAUUCAAAAAAAAUUGUCAUUUUGAUUUAAAAAUAAUAAUUUCUAUAUUUAAAAAAUAUCAAAAACAAAUAUAAAUUUUUUUUUUCCCAAAUAACUGAUAACGAUUGGCGAUUGGCAAUUGGCAAUUGCAAAAAAAAAAAAUUUACAUUGUUCCGAUCAACCGGCUAGACAUCUGGGGACGUCCGGACGGAUGAUCGGAUAGACCCAAAAUUCAAAAGCCUUUGCUUUUCAAAAUGGAGAAGAUGAAAGAGAGAGGGUAGCCAAACGUGAAAGAGAAAUAUGUUUUGAAAUGUGCGGUGGAAUCACAUUUCCAAAAUUCCAUCCAAACAAUGCAUGCAAACGGAGGGGUGGAAUUAUGAUUAUAAAGCUGCACCAAAAACAGCGAAUUUUUAUUUGUAGUUUUUUGCAGCACAGAAACAAUUUUUAAAGCUCAAUUACUUAUUUGUCUUUGGGUCAGGCAAUUACUUUUGUCUAUUCAUUCAUAAGUUUAAGAUAAACAAUAAAUAAUGAAAGUUCAUAUUUAUACUCAUCAGAUUUAAUGCUAAAAAUAUUCCAUACCAUGACCAAAGUAUUUCACUUGAAAGAUUUUAGUUUCUAAAAUUUAAAAUGAAUGUUAAUCUUAUCAAUUAUUAUCUUGCACAACAGCAUACUUGCAUGGAAUAUAUGUCUCUUAUCAUGUUCUGCUUUUCGUUCAUGGAUUUGUUGUUGUCAAGGAAAUGUGAUGGUCACUUUUGCAUCGGUAACCCAAUGAAUCUAUAAGGAAAAAAAAUCAUAUAGCUGUCCCUUGUUUUAUGGUGUGGAUGUUGGAGAAACUUCAAAAGGAUUUCCAUUAGUGGGUGACUUUUAAGUAUCACUUGGUGAAUUGGGAAAGUGUUUGUGUGUUGAUUAAAGGGGGAGGAUUGGGUAGUCAAAGGCUUAAGUUAGUUACUAGACCAUUGAGGGAGGAGUUAUUCAAGUAGGUUUGUUUAAAGGUGGGUAAUGGAGGUCAAGUGUGAUAUAGGCAUGAUUCUUCAUGCGGACAUAGACCAUUAAGGUUUUUCCAAACCUUAACUGUUUUGCUAUGGACAAAGGACCAUCACUGAAAAUAUAUUUCUCCUUCUCCUCCAAGGAAGUGGUGUGGACAUCUAGGUUUGGGAGAGGUUUGUAGGACUGGAAAAUUGAUUCUAUACUUAGCUAUGUCUCCAACAAUUUUUGGUCGGUUACAUGAAUCUUGUUUUACCAUCCUACUCAAUCAAAGCCUUCAAAGGCCAUAAGUUAAACCGCAAGCUAAAAUGCCUUUCUUUAUUAUCUCAAACCAAAUUAAUUUGUUCUCCCUCAUCUCCCAAUGUUACCUUCAAUGUGGAUAAUGUCACUCUUUGUCAUCUCCUAAGCAACGUGAUUCUUGUUUCAUAACUAUGAAAUUGAUUACAUGGCAGCCUGUUUUGAAAUGCUAUACAAUUGUUCAGUUCAAAGCAAGAUCAGGGCAUGAUGACGUGGAGAACUUCACAGAAUGGGAUGUUCUAUGUUUAUUCUUUUUCUUAAUCUAAGCCUUCUUUUUCUUGGAAACAAUUUGGAGGACUAAGGCUCCGAAUCCCAAGGUUGUGUUGCUUGUGUGAACAGCAACACACGAGGUCUUUUUGAUGAUUGACAACCUUAGGAAGAGGCAUAAGGGUAUUAUGGGGUGAUGUUGUAUAUGCAAAAGAGUGGGGAGAGAAAGUGUGAACCAUCAGCUUCUCCAUAAUCUUGUGGCUUGUGAAGUGGAGUAUAAUUUUCUUGGCCUUUGAUGUUGAGUGGGUGAUGCCUUCUUCAAUGGUUGAUCUUUUAUGAUGAGGGAGGAAAGUGUGGGGUGUUACCCCAUUGUCUGAUGUGUUGCAUUUGGAGAGAAAGGAAUUUCAUGUCUUUUGAAGGUUUGGAGCCACCUGUUCCUAGAUUGAAGGGAUGAGAGAGUUGUUUCCAUUUUCUACUUCAUGUUUUGUUGACUUUUAGGGUGGAUUUGUAGAAUCCUUGGAUAUAUAGCCUUUAGGGGUUCACUGAAUACCUUGUACAGGGUUUGUGUUGUUAAGGUACCAAGUGUCCCAAAGACUUAAGCUAUUAGGAUAUUGGUCCAACAAUAUUUAUCAGAUUGUCCAACACAAUCCCUCACACACCUCUGUUUUGCACAUGGAGAUGCAAAUAGACAUGCAUAAAUAAAUUUUUUU